GGAUGCUGCUGGCCAGGCUGCUCGGGGCGAGGACCCGAGAACACGCACUUGCUCGCUGGGCCUCGGAGGGGUGGGAGGGGCGGGGCGGUGCGCAGCCUCCCCGGGACAGGUCUGCGGUCCGGGACCAACUAGGCUGCACAGGCACGCUGGGCGCAUGUCCGCCUCGCCGGGGCUGCCAGAAUCUUGGAAUCCCAAUCCGUGAGGUUCCUGGGUGUGCUGGCAUCAGGACAGCGGUCCACGAACGGUGUGUUACCCAAAUAUUGACAUCCUGCAGCUAGCCUCAAACAAUCACAGCUACUUUCCAAUUUCAGAGAAAAAAAGGCUAAAAUUGGUAAUCCUGAUGAAAAUCAACAAAAUACACAUGAAGAGACAGCACUGAGAGCGAGUUACUGCUCAUUUGAUUCAUAUUGCCAAACUGAACUCUCUUGUUUUCUUGCAAGAUGAAAGGAGACAACCAUGAAUGAGCCACUAGACUAUUUAGCAAAUGCUUCUGAUUUCCCCGAUUAUGCAGCUGCUUUUGGAAAUUGCACUGAUGAAAACAUCCCACUCAAGAUGCACUACCUCCCUGUUAUUUAUGGCAUUAUCUUCCUCGUGGGAUUUCCAGGCAAUGCAGUAGUGAUAUCCACUUACAUUUUCAAAAUGA
rnacentral:lncRNA from 1 species